CCGAGUUUACAACUCCCAAACCCCUGUGAACAUACCAACUGUUGCCUCGGCGGAUCAGCCCGCUCCCGGUAAAACGGGACGGCCCGCCAGAGGACCCCUAAACUCUGUUUCUAUAUGUAACUUCUGAGUAAAACCAUAAAUAAAUCAAAACUUUCAACAACGGAUCUCUUGGUUCUGGCAUCGAUGAAGAACGCAGCAAAAUGCGAUAAGUAAUGUGAAUUGCAGAAUUCAGUGAAUCAUCGAAUCUUUGAACGCACAUUGCGCCCGCCAGUAUUCUGGCGGGCAUGCCUGUUCGAGCGUCAUUUCAACCCUCAAGCCCAGCUUGGUGUUGGGACUCGCGAGUCAAAUCGCGUUCCCCAAAUUGAUUGGCGGUCACGUCGAGCUUCCAUAGCGUAGUAGUAAAACCCUCGUUACUGGUAAUCGUCGCGGCCACGCCGUUAAACCCCAACUUCUGAAUGUUGACCUCGGAUCAGGUAGGAAUACC
rnacentral:rRNA from 1 species